rnacentral:rRNA from 1 species
AUUGAACGCUGGCGGCAGGCCUAACACAUGCAAGUCGAACGCGUGGCGGACGGGUGAGUAAUGUCUGGGAAACUGCCCGAUGGAGGGGGAUAACCACUGGAAACGGUAGCUAAUACCGCAUACCAUCGGAUGUGCCCAGAUGGGAUUGGCUUGUAGGUGAGGUAACGGCUCACCGAGGCGACGAUCCCGAGCUGGGCUGAGGGGAUGACCAGCCACACUGGAGCGGGGACACGGUCCAGACUCCUACGGGAGGCGGCAGUGGGGAAUAUUGCACAAUGGGCGCAAGCCUGAUGCAGCCAUGCCGCGUGUAUGAAGAAGGCCUUCGGGUUGUAAAGUGCUUUCAACGGGGAGGCGUUACCCGCAGAAGAAGCACCGGCUAACGCCGUGCCAGCAGCCGCGGUAAUUC